UACGUAGGGUGCAAGCGUUAUCCGGAAUUAUUGGGCGUAAAGAGCUCGUAGGCGGUUUGUCACGUCUGCUGUGAAAACUGGAGGCUCAACCUCCAGCCUGCAGUGGGUACGGGCAGACUAGAGUGCGGUAGGGGAGAUUGGAAUUCCUGGUGUAGCGGUGGAAUGCGCAGAUAUCAGGAGGAACACCGAUGGCGAAGGCAGAUCUCUGGGCCGUAACUGACGCUGAGACGCGAAAGCGUGGGGAGCAAACAGG
rnacentral:rRNA from 1 species